rnacentral:lncRNA from 1 species
GUUGCUGUAGCGGAGGAUUUCACGGUACAGGGACAGAGCCUCACGACGAGUUGUCAACACCUGCCGGGGCUCCUCGGCCUUCUUGCGACUGGCCUUGAGCAAAUUUCGUUCAAAAAGUUCAGUCACUCUGUCUGGACUUGCACUAAGCUGCUCUUCCGAAAUGAAUCGGUUAAGUAGGUAUUGUAGCGGGAGGGCAGCACAACCGGCAAGAGGCUUACUUUGUUGAAGAUGACGAUAAACACACCGUAAAGGCAUGAUAGAAUUUUGCAGAGGGGAAAUUACAAGCGUUAUGAAGUGAGGUUGCCACCACCGUUGCUUCACAAGCGAGGGUUCUGGAGCAACGAAGGUACGGGCACUUGUCAACCCGGAAAAACGAAGUCAUUUCUUGCAUCCGGAUUUCUAAGAUUACAAUAUCACUGUAGUUACGUGAAGGUCUGGAACUGCGGAUGCUUAUCUUUCGGCUGUCGACGUUACGGACUAUGCAUACCCGAACAUAUCUGACUCGGCGUCUUGGUUGCACACAACGAGUAUGC